rnacentral:rRNA from 1 species
UAAACAGAGGGAAGCGAGCCCGCGAGGGGGAGGCAAAUCCCAAAAAUAAACGUCCCAGUUCGGAUUGUAGUCUGCAACUCGACUACAUGAAGCUGGAAUCGCUAGUAAUCGCGGAUCAGAAUGCCGCGGUGAAUACGUUCCCGGGUCUUGUACACACCGCCCGUCACACCAUGGGAGUCGGAAAUGCCCGAAGUCUGUGACCUAACCUUAGGGAGGGAGCAGCCGAAGGCAGGUCGGAUGACUGGGGUGAAGUCGUAACAAGGUACC